rnacentral:lncRNA from 1 species
GUAUCUAUAGUGGAUGAAGAUGACAUCGCAGCAUAUACAAUCAAAACAAUAGAUGAUCCGCGAACAUUGAACAAAACAUUAUACCUUCGUCCACCCGAAAACGAACUCAGUCAAAAACAAUUGGUUGAGAUGUGGGAAAACCUCAUAGGCAAGAAACUAGAACAUAUCUCCAUUUCAGAAGAAGACUUCCUUGCCUCUAUGAAAGGUACGCAUGAUAUCAUAUGAAAUCUAUUGAAUGCACGAAAGUUAUAUGGUUUAACCUCGCCAAUCAAUCAGCUCCUUGAAUGGAUUUCAUUGAUCAGCACAUUAAAAUUCCUAGGUUAUUUUUGCGCAGAUCGAUCAGACUCUGACUCAUUACUCAGAUUUUAAAUUUUAACUCUUGACUUGUGGUGCCUAAAAUCCAAGAACCUGAACCUAAUACAAGCUCUAAGCAGAAAUUUCACACCUUAUGAAAUACUAUAUUUCAGGUAUGGACUAUGCAGGCCAGGUAGGAGCGGGGCAUUUCUACCACAUGUUCUACGAAGGCGCUCUGACAAACUUUGAAAUCGGGGAAGAAGGAGAAGAAGCUUCAAAGCUUUACCCAGAAGUGAAAUACACCCGCAUGAAUGAAUACAUAAAAAUUUAUGCAUGAGAAACAAAACAAGGUGUUUAAUAAUAGUUUCUCAAAGAAUACAUUUAUCUUGUGAUCACUUUAAUGGAGGAUAUUACAGCUUUCCUGCAGCUAUUUUGUGUAUGUAAUACAGCAUAUUAAACACUUAUUAUCUAUUGUUAUAAAUGGCCGAUUAGUGACAUUAUAUUUUAUACACAAGCUUUGACAUAAUUUUUGGGUGAAUAAUGAUUUUAAAUCUAAGAUGGGAUCUAUCAUCACUACUACAAAAAACCCUUUGUGCGACGAAAUAAGUUUGUUGCACAAAGUACAAUUUUGUCGCACAAAUAUUUGCACGACAAAAUAUUUUUUGUGUUUUAAAAUUUUUUAAUUAAAAAUAAACUAAUUUAAUAGUUUGCGCGACGAAAUAUUUUGUCGCGCAAGGUUUUUGACUUUUUGUUUUAUUAUUUCUCUUAUAUUAAUUUAAUUAUAUUAAUUUAUUCAAAUUUUUACUUUUUAAAUUUAAUUUAAUUGUAUAUAUAUUUUUUUAAUUACUUUAAUUUAAAUUUACGUAUUCAAAAUAAAAUUACAUAUGAAAAAUAGUGAUCAAAUUACCCAAUAAAUAUAUAUAAUAUUCAAAAUGUACGCAUAAAUUAACAAAGUACAAUAAUAAAAUCUUAAUACAAGCCUAUUGUGGUGGUAGUGGCGAAUGAUAUGUUUCGAUAGUGUCCUAAUCCUCAACUUUAACCGUCAAAGUCUCGACGAUUCCCUACAAAAAAAAAAAAAUGGUCAAAUAACAAAAAUUGGCAUAAUCUCCCCUGAGAUUGUUAUACCCCAAAUCCAACCCAAACUCCAAUCCUCACCCUAUACUCAACCCCAAACCCCACACAAACUCAAAACUAACUCCAAAAACACAUUAAUGAAAAAAAUUUUAAAUUUAGAGAGAAUAUACCUUUUGGCAAGAUUGAGAGUGAGUGAGAAUGAGAGGGAGAAGUGAGUGUGAGAGAAUUAGAGAAGAUAGUGAGAGAGAGAGAGAGAGAGAGAGAUGAGAGAGUGAGUGAGAGUGAGAACUAGUGAAAAGAGAGAUGGGAGAGUGAGUGAGAGUGAUAGAUAGUGAUGAGAGAGAUGAGAGAUUAAGUGAGAGGAGUGAGUGUGAGAGAAAGGGUCGGAUUUGGGGAGAGGGAAAGAGAGAGGAGAGGUAAGACCAGAGAAAGACAUUGAGAAAGUGGUGGAGGAGUUAUUUUAGUAUUAAAAACCGUAUCACUUUGCACAACGAAAUCUUGGUCAUGCAAAGUCCUGAAAAAAAUUCCCGCGUCCCAUUUUUGGUGCCCACCCAAAUUUUUAGAGUUUUGCGCGACGAGUUGUUGGUCACACAAAGUUUUGCGAGACCAAAAAAUUCCCGCGUCCCUUUUAAGAUACCCACCCAAAUGCAAAUUUUGAGAGACGAAAAAUUGGUUCGUAGCGCAAUAUUUAUAAAAAUAAUUGCUAUGAAUAAUAAAAAAUAAAAUAAUUUUAUUUUACGAUUUAAAAUAUAACUAAGGUUAAGGCGACCAAAUGUGUUUUCGUUGCGCAAAAAAAAUAAUAAAAAAUAAAGAAAUAAUUUAGUUUAACAAUAUAAAAUAUAAAAAGAAGUAAAUAAGGAUUAGGCGAUGAAAUAUUGAUAUUCGUCAAGCAAAGUUUUCAAAAAAUAAUAAAAACUUAUGAAAACAACUAUAUCUUAAAAUUUAUAAUGUAUAAUUAAAUAAAAAAAAUUAAUUGGUUUGCCCGACGCAUGUUUACAUUAUGACGUCUUGCUAUUGGUUUUUGCACGACGACCCCAUUGUUAUAUUAAAAAAUAAAUAAAUUUAAAGUUACUUAAUAAAUAUAUAUAUAUAUAUAUAUGCACACCAUUCAACGAUCCAACUGUCAAACUUGUUUGUAUAUACUUCGAGAUCGCAUACCCCAAAAAUCGCAAAAAACAAACAUUCAGAGAUCUAGUAACGGGACAAAACUUUUCGACGGUUAUAAAUGAAAAAUCACGAUUUAACGGUUAUUUUAACUCCGAUUUUGAUGAUUUUUUACAACUACACUCCUUGACCCUGUAUGAAUACAAUGACAGAAUUUGAUCUUCAAUUUAAAAUAUUUACACUAGCGGAUACCACAAAUCUUAUGUCAUAUUUAAUGAAAGUAUAAAUAAACUCUUAAUUGUUAGUGAAUAUAUUGUUUUGAUGGCAUAUACAUUCUACGAAACUAGUUUCAACGAUAAAACCGUCAAACUUGUUUGUUUAUACUUCGAGAGCAUAUAGCCAAAAAUCGAAAAAAAUAAACAUCCAGAGAUCAAGUAACGGGACAACUUUUCAACGGUUAUAAAUGAAAAUUCAUGAUUUAAUGGUUAUUUUAACUCCGAUUUUGAUGAUUUUUUACAGCUACACUCCUUCACCCUAUAUGAAUACAAUGACUGAAUUUGAUCUUCAAUUUAAAAUAUUUACACUAGUGGAUAGCACAAAAUCUUAUGUUAUAUUUAACGAAAUUAUAAAUAAACUUUUAAUUGUUAGUGAAUAUAUUGUUCUAAUGGCAUAUGCAUUCAACAAAACUAGUUUCAAUGAUCCAACCGUCAAACUUGUUUGUUUAUAAUUCGAGAUCAUAUACGCCAAAAAUCGGAAAAAAUAAACAUUCAGAGAUCAAGUAAUGGGACAAAACUUUUCUACGGUUAUAAUGAAAAAUCACGAUUUAACGGUUAUUUUAACUCCGAUUUUGAUGAUUUUUUACAGCUACACUCCUUGACCCUAUAUGAAUACAAUGAAUAAAUUCGAUCGUCAAUUUAAAAUAUAUAUUUUCUAACAAAAACCCAAUGCGAACAACAAUAAUAUAUUUUUCUAACAAAAAUCUGACCCGAUCUAAAAUAAUAAAUUUAAAGCUACUUAAUAAAUACAUAUACCUUUUAAUUUCUUAAGUGUUAUGCAUACAAAAUAGAAAAUAAAAAAAAAUGGUUUAGGCGACGAAAUGUUUGGAUUACGUCAGGCAAAGAUUUUAAAAAAUAAUUUUUUUUUUAUUAGGACUUUGUGCGACGAAGUUUAUUGUUUUGUCGCGCAAAGUCACUUUGAGCGACGAUGUAUUGGCGUCGCGCAAAGUUUUCAUCGUGCAAAAUUUAGUUGCGCAAGACUUUGAGCGACGAUUUAUUAUUGUCGUGCAAAAGUUUGUCGCGCGAAGUGACUUUGCACGACGAAUAGUUUUUCGUCGCAAAACAUUUGGUCGCGCAAGACUUUGAGCGACGAAGUUUUGAGUUUCGUCGCGCAAAGUGACUUUGAGCCACGAAUAGUUUUUCAUGGCGCAAAAUUUGAUCGUGCAAGGGGUUUUUUUUUUUAAUAGUGAAGUCUUCAAUAUGAAAAGAAACAAAGUGAGUCCUAUAUAUUAUUUGAUACUAAACUUAUGAAUUUAAUUUACCACGGUUCAAAACUUGGGUACAAAGGCUCAUUGUCCUUGUUAAUUCCCCCAACUCAGUAUGAUACAAAUACACUGUAUUUCUUACUCUCUUUGUUUCCCUGGCCUUUUCUGUGCAGCAUUUCUUGCCAUCAAAGGUCGGUUUAGAUCCAACACGUAUGGGACAUGCACUUGAACCUGGAAGAGUUACAUUUGAUGAGAAAAUGAUAGUGAGAAAGGCAAUACAAGAUGCUAAACUCCCUUUCACUUAUGUAUGUGGUGCCUCCUUCGCCAGCUAUUUUGCCGGCAACCUUUCUCAGAUGGGAACACUCUUCCCUCCAAAGGAAAAAGGUGCUUAUUUAUGGAGAUGGUAACGUUAAAGGCAAAAGUUAAUAAAUUAAGUUUUUACCACUAUAGGCAUUCAUAUAUCGAAAAUGUUUAGCAAUGGAUUUUUAGCUCAAGUAGUUAAGAGCAUUCAACCCUGCAUCUGACAAGAAUACACCAAAGCUCCAAAAAAGAUAGAUAGAACCCACAAAGAACACCAGCGCUAUCAACCUCCAACAACGAUUGGCCCUGAGAAUAGAGAAGUCUGCAGGGAGCAACACAAGAGAAGAGACAAAAGACAACGAGCAAGCCAGGAAAAAAAGAAAACAAAAAGUCCUCAAAGACACGCUGUAUCAUCCCAACUCUGACAAGGAAACCUCCUAUGAAUCCAUAGUCCUUAAGACAAGCGAAGAAUCAAAGGUCUGUUGAGAGAAGAACUGAGAAAUACAACACAACAAUAACAAAACUAGCAUCAGCCACUUAACCACAAGAAGACGGCUGUUGGACUCAAGAAGAAACCCUAGAUGUGACGCACGACUCCCCCCUCGCAUAACAAGAGAGUGACCCCUGGUGUCCAACAUACGAUUUAUAACUUUUAGUUUUAGGUUUUGCCUUUCCAGUGGUAUUUUUGGCUAUAGAACCUGAUACAUAUGUAUUAUGUCUAUGCUUAAUACAAAACCUUGAACUCAACUUGGUCAGAAAAUUUAUGCAAAUUAUAAUCAAAUCGAAAACAUGCAGAUUGAGUGUCUAAUAUGCUUGCUUACACGUAUUACGAGCUUAGCAUCUUGAUCAUAUUAACAAGUGCGUUUUGGUUCUAAAACAUGCCACCUAAGCUCUGAUAUCACACGUAAACUCUACAUACUGCAUAUAAAAGAGCAACUAACCUUGGUAUGCUGCCAUUUUGACUAUUUAAACACUAUUCUGGUUACUUUAAUUUCUAUUCUGGCUACUUGGACCGCAGUUGUGGAUGUUCAAAUGAGUAUUAAGAAUAAGAACAAGUGCUCUUAUCCACUUAAUUUGAUGUUUAACUCACUUAUUCUAGAUGGGGUAUGAAUGUUUUUGUGAUGGUGUGAUCGAAUGAGAAUGAGCACUUGUAUUUAUAGGCAUCAGUUGGGAGUCUUGCCCAUCAAGAAAUUCUUAAGCCUUUCCUUAUCGCUCUAGGUUUAAAACUUCUAAUCCACAAUGAAGUAGGAAUCCUUUUGUCUCUAUGUGUGAACCUUAAACACUAACUUCAAAAGAGAUGUCAGAUUAGUUUUAGUUAAAUUCCUAAUCCAUACCAAGUCUUAGAUCCCUAUCAUGAUUAGAAGGCAACAAUUAUUAAGUGGUUCAAGGAUGUCACUAGUGGCUAUGUCAACUGAGACACAGGUGGUGGCGAUUCAUAAUAUUUUUGUAUCAUGUUUUGCCUAAACCUCUAUGAAAUAUGUGUAGUAAUCUUUAAUCUUUCACGAAUUAGUUUAAACUUAAGACACAAAAAAUACAAGAUAAAGAAAAUAUGAGGAGAGAGAGUGGGGAAGGAUAUUAUCAAGGGAACAUGCUUAAAUUGUAAAAAUUUCUUCUUCUUUUUUUAGAUAUUUGUUUCAAAAAUUCUAAUAUAUAUGUAGAUAAAAAAAAUAUUCAAAAUAAAAAUAGGAGAAUAUAAAAAAAAACACUAGAAAGACAUUUGAAAAAGUGAUAUGGAUAACAUGGUGACAAUGCAACACAAAUGACAGAACAACAGCUCAUACAUACAUACAAUACAAGAGACACGUGUACUCCUCAACGAAUGAGUUUCAAAUUUCCAUAUAAAUAUGAACAUUGUGGCACUCGGAAUUCUUAAUAUUGUACGGUUAUGGAAAUCUCAUUAAUCUUAUCUAAAUGUUUAUUUCAACUAAGUUAAUUAUUUGCCAUUUCUUACUCUGCAUUCUUCUCUUAUGCUUUGACAAGAAGGAAAAAAAAAAGCAUUUGGUUUCAUUUCCUUAAAUGAGUGAGCUUACUAUGAAUUGAAAGUCAUAGUAAGCUCAGGCACAAAACCAUUCAUUGGAUGCCAAGCUCACGAAUGCUUUAAUGACACAUUAAGGAAGGCUCCUAGGAGACCCCACUAGACUGGUCUCCAUAAGUUUGUCAGAAUAGGCAUCAGUUCAAAGGCACUUAGGAACCAUGAAGUCUACCCCAUAAACCAUGGUAUCACUACCAGAAACAGGUGCAAUCGAAUAAGGACAACCAGGAACUAACGUAGACAUGGCAGCGACUAGAGGAGAUGAGGCCCAAAACGCAAGGAAAACGAGGCACCGAAUAGCAAGGGAGGGAAAUCUGAGAGCGAUCGAACCAGCCCCCAAAAUUGGGAAGAGGCACAGCGACGACAGACUGGAGAGAGAACGUGGACGAGGGUGGACUGAGAAGAGGAAGGCAAUAAGGCAGGACUACAAGAGAGCAAUGACAUAGACUAAACGUGCGACUGGGCAAGAGAGAAAUAGCGACGACAACUGAGCACGAGAAAACGGCUGUUGGACGCAAAAACAAACCCUAGAUGUGACACACGACUCUCCUCGCAUAACAAGAGAGCGACCCCUGGUGUCCAACAUAUACAAUUUAUAACUUUUAGUUUUAGGUUUUGCCUUUCUGGUGGUAUUUUUGGCUUUAGAACUUGAUACAUUUAUGUCUAUGCUUAAUACAAAACCUUGAACUCAACUUGGUCAGAAAAGUUAUGCAAAUUAUAAUCAAAUUGAAAACAUGCACAUUGAGUAUCUAAUGUGCUUGCUGACACAUAUUAAGAGCUUGGCAUCUUGAUCAUGUGAACAAGUGCGUUUUGGUUCUAAAACAUGCAGCCUAAGCUCUAAUAUCACAUGUAAACUCUGCAUACUGCAUAUAAAAGAGCAACUAACCUUGGUAUGCUACUAUUAUGACUGUUUAAACACUAUUCUGGCUACUUGGACUGCAGUUAUGGAUGUUCAAAUGAGUAUUAAGAAUAAGAACAAGUGCUAUUAUCCACUUAAUUUGAUGUUUAACUCACUUAUUCUAGAUGGGGUAUGAAUGUUUUUAUGGUAGUGUGAUCGAAUGAGAAAUGAGCACUUGUAUUUAUAGGCAUCAGCUGAGAGUCUUACGCAUCAAGAAACUCUUAAGCCUUUCCUUAUCGCUCUAGGUUUAGAACUUCUAAUCCACAAUGAAUAGGAUCCUUAUGUCUGUGUGAACCUUAAACACUAACUUUAAAAGAGAUAUCGGAUUAGUUUUAGUUGAAUUGAAUACCAAGUCUUAGAUCCCUAUUUUGAUUAGAAGACAACAAUUAAGUGGUUCAAGGAUGGGUCACUAGUGGCUAUGUCAACUAAGACACAGGUGAUGGCGAUUCAUAAUGUUUCUGUAUCAUGUUUUGCCUAUACCUCUAUGAAAUAUGUGUAGUAAUCUUUAAAUCUUUCACGAAUUAGUUUAAAAUGAAGACACAAAAAGUACAAGAUAAAGAAAAAUACGAGGAGAAAGAGUGGGGAAGGUUAUUAUCAAGGGAACAUGCUUAAAUUGUAAUAAUUUCUCCUUCUUUUUUUAGGUAUUUGUUUCAAAAACUCUAAUAUAUAUGUAGAUAAAAAAAAUUUUCAAAAGAAAAAAUAGGAGAAUAUAAAAGAACACUAGAAAGACAUUUGAGAAAGUGAUAUCGAUAACAUGGUGACAAUGCAACACAAAUGACAGAACAACAGGUCAUACGUAUGUACAAUACAAGAAACACAUGUACUCCUCAACGAAUGAGUUUCAAAUUUCCAUAUAAAUAUGAACAUUGUGGCACUCGGAAUUCUUAAUAAUGUACGGUUAUGGAAAUAUCAUCAAUCUUAUCUAAACGUUUAUUUCAACAAAAUUAAUUAUUUGCCAUUUUUUACUAUGCAUUCUUCUUGGGGGCGGAUCCACAGAGAAGCAAGGGUGGUCAAUUGACCCCUGCAACCUCUGAAAUCCUCCAUUAGAGCAGCCAAACUUGACCCUCGCAAAGUGUUCGACCAAAUGCCCCAAAAGGGCAACCUGUGUGCAGCUGGAUGGGGCUAUAAGUACUAGUGCUGGGUUUUCGAGGCUGAGAGAUGGAGAGGAGGGAUGAGAAGGAAGAAGAAGAAGAGUGUCUCAUUUGGUGGUGAUGGUGGAAAGCAGCAGCUGCUGCUUCUGGCUGGAGGUCGUGAGGGUAAACUGGCAUCAACAAAAAAAAAAAAAAAAAUUGAAACUGACAUACAUUACUAUCGACAAAAGAAGGAAAGAGAAGGUCAAAAAUUUUUAAAAAAUGGCAUAAUUAAAUAGGUAGGUCCAAAUAAUUAAUUCGUAUAGGGCUAGUUUGUAUGUUUUUUGGAUUAUUUGGUUGAUGAUUAUCAGCGGCAUCUAUCACAAGUGUGGGGUAUCGCUUCAUUGCGAAAUCUCGUGUGGUGCAAGUACUGAGAACUCAGUUGAUGACAGAGCGGAAUUUGGUUGAUGAUUAUCAGCAUGACAUCAAAAGAUUGAAAAGGUAUAAGGCAAGACGGCAAAGGAGAACCGAUGCCAACUUCAAAUAUUGCAGGAAGAGAAUGAAAAGCUAUCAAAAAGAUGGUAAAUUUUUAUUCUAAAAACUUGCAAAAGCAGCUGGAGGCCUUGGAGAACCCAAAGAAGCACAAGGGAGAUCACGAGAGGAGUUCAAGAGAGAGAAGUGUGUGAUCUUUGAAGGCUCAAGUGAUGAGCCCUAAGAAGCAAUGCGUGAAAACCCAAGGGAGGAUAUCAAGAGGGCCAAAUUAAAGUCUCUAUUAUGGAAAAAUAAAGCUUUGAUUUUUUUUACUUUAGAAGUGAAUGGUGUGGUUGAUUAUUGUUGUUAUUGUUGUAGCCCAUCUCUAAAUUAUUGUUUCUUCUCAUCAUCAAUUUAUCCAACACCACUUUCAUUACUUUUGUAUUCAAUAUCAUUUUUUUUACGUUGAGUGCAACACCUUUCUCUUUUGCUGGUUUUACUCUAUUUCUUCUUCAUCUUUAUUUGUUUGGUUGCCACACUUCAACGAGCAUGUGCUUGUAAUUGCUUGCUAGUGGCUGGCCAUACUUCUUGCUUUAUUUCAUCUUUUAAUCUCUUUAUCUUUUUUUUUUUUUUUUUGGUGCCAAUCUCACCAAUGACCUACUAAGAGAAAGUAGUUAUUUAAUUUCCAAAACUUUUAUUAGCAUAAUGCCUAAACUUAUAAAAAUCAAACUUUAGCCUAAAGAGCUUAAAAUAAAAUGAACUCAUGCACUAACAAAUAUAUAUUCAAGGAUAGAACAUUGUGGCACUCGGAAUUCUUAAUAUUGUACUGUGAUGGAAAUAUCAUCAAUAUUAUCUAAACGUUUAUUUCAAUAAAAUUAAUUAUUUGCCAUUUCUUACUCUGCAUUCUUCUCUUAUGCUUUGACAGGAAGGAAAAAAAAAAAAAAGCAUUUGGUAUCAUUUCCUUAAAUGGGUGAGCUUACUAUGAAUUGGGUGUUUGUAUUUGCAAGAUAUUGGAGAAAUGAAUAAUAUCCAUGCAUAUAUACCCCAAAACAUUACAACCAUAGGCUAUUAUGAUCCACACCCUAAAAAAUGCAGGCAAGGGACAACUCACGCCAAGAGACAAACAGAAAUAUGGACUACGGUGUACAUACAUAGGGUGCUCAACAAUUGGCGUCAGUAAGGGUUAGGGGAAGUCUGGUGCAAUUAACUUAACUUUUUUUUUUUUUUUUGGUAAUACGUUUUUAAUUAUUUUUAGUUAUAAUUAAUUGAUGGAAAUGUCCGGAAACUUUAACAAAGUUAUUAGACGUAAGUGGUGGAUUGCAACACUUUAUAUAGUUCAGGUGGUCAAAAAUAAAUAUUAUUAAAAGAUCAGGUGGUAAUGACACACAUGCAAGGGCGGUUCUAUGCACAUGGCAGGUUGGGUGCUCACCCAGCCCAAAUUUUUAUUUUUAUUUAUAAAAAAACACCUAUAUAUGUUAUAAGUCCAGUUCAAAAUUAAAAAAAAUUAAAAGCAAACCCUACACACAUGUUGCCCAUCCAGGUGGUCUCAUAUCUUCUCUUUCUUUCCCUUUGGGCUAUGCGACAUCUACUUGUUUCUCUCCCUCUUAGCUAUACCCGACAUCAGCAACUUCUUUCUCCCUUUAUUUUCUAUAUAUCUUUAAUUAUAUUUUUAAUUUAAAGUUGAGUAUUGUAGAGUUUAUUUAACGAUGAAUGACGGUUUGCCAAUGCAUCAAUAAUUGAGAAAUUUACGAGUUCUAAGCCUCGCAUGGUUAAAUUUUAGAUUUAAAAUAGUUUUAUUUUAUUUUGUAUUGCAUUUUUACUUUUGAUUUUAGUUAUAGUUUUUAUAUUUGUUGAAUUUUUAUUUAUGGAUAGAUAUGCAUUUGAGGGUAAGGCUCAUUACGUCAUCUCUGACUGUUUAUUAAUGAAAUUCACUCGUACCGUCGAAUUUAGUAUAUAAGUUUUGCCCAACUAGCUUUCGAAUCUUAAAACUACUAAAGUUCAUAUGGUAUUUAUUGUUGUGUUCCUUCCAAGUGCCAAUAUAUGGUAAGUAUAAUGGUACAAGUAAGGGUGUCGAACCACAGGGACCGAUUGGACCUCUAUAAAUUACUAGUUUUGAAAUAACCCUAACUAAAAAUGAAAGUGACAAUUUGAAAGUAGUUUUUGUGUUGUAAAUGAAAAAUAACUUCCAAUGCAAAAAGAAUAUAAUAGUGAAUAAUAUAUUGAUGUAGAAAGAAUAGGGAAGAGACCAGGGAUUUCGAAUUCACCAUUGCAAAACGAAUUCCAUAUUGUUUAUAAAAUUAAACCUACUCACCUACCAACCUGUUUCCAGAGUUCGUUUUACAUAUAUAUGAUCAGCCAUAUGAUGUGUGGUUUUGAUCAAAUUCUCCUAAUCUGCAACCUAGUUGGGAUGUUCAACUUUGGUUCCAAGUUAAGAGUCAUUAGCAUGCAAGAAAACGUUAAAGAACCAAAGAAAACACACAACAUGAUGUUUGCAUAGCAUUCUCUUCAUUCAUUCACAUGUCUAACAAGAUUAAGCAUGAUGUUUACUAUAACCUUGUCUAGAUAAUCUGUAGGCGACUCUAAUGGUGAUCAAACAUUAAAAUUGACAAACAAAUUGAACAAUAGAUUCAGUGAAUGAAACAAGAAACAGAUUGAUGAACUGAAUACUUUAAUUUAGAAACAUGGAUCAAUGUUGCAAGGCUACAUCGAAAUCCCUAGCUAUGAAUUUAGUUACACAUCAUGUUCAAAGAGAUUAAAACAAAAAUAAACAACAUGAGUGAAAAUGAAUUCAUGAGAGGAAACCCUUGAACCAAUUCUGAUGUUGAACUUCUCCAAGAACCACCUCUUGCGCUGAGUCCUGAUGGUGGAAAUAUAUGGACGGCUAGGGUUUUAGUGUGCAUGAAAGAAGAGAAUAACCAAGAAGUCACAUCCAGGGUUGUGAAAUUCGUCCAAAAUAAAUAGGGGUUUUAGAAGUGGCUAAAAGGCAAGUUUUUAUGGGGUAAACAAGGCUGCAAGAUGUUCCAAAGAUAUCCUAAUGAAUCAGCCUUUAUUUUGCACGUUUUUGCCUUAUUUGGCACCUCCAAAUCAGGCUAGAAAUCCCCAUUGCUUUCCCAUUCCGUUCUUAGUCUUCAAACAAGCCAGGUUCGCCUUGCAUUCUUUAUUUGGACUUCAAAACAGGUCACGAAACUUGUUUCCACGUUUGAAUAAGGGUCAGCUCCAAAAAUGGCAUGUUUUCAUUUCUUUUGCCUUCAACUUGAUCCUAAAGUAUAUGCAACUGCAUACUAACACAAAAUAGGAUAAAACGCAACAAGUUUAACUCAAAAACAUCACAAAUAUACUAGAAAUAGAUGGUAUAAAUGUAUAAAUAUAUGAGUUAUCAUUUAUGCAAAUUGCCAAAAAAAUUUUAUUUGGACCCAUUCAUUUAUUUGUUGGGAAAAUAUCUAUCGAGAGUACUUCUUCCCAAACAUGUCUUAAUGAUUCUUUCUUUCUUCCUUCUUUUUUUUUUUUUUUCCCCUUUUUGCUUUUUUUUGUUUUUUUGUUUUUUUUGGUGUUUAAUGCAUACCAAGCUUUGCGAUGACAUUACGUAAAAAAUUGGUCAUAUAUAUUUUUUAUAAGAAAAUUGUCGCCUUCGUGGAGUGGGAUUUGACUUGGUCAUCAUUAGGUUAGGCAAGCUUUGCUGGUGCAAUGUCAUGGUUCGACAUUUUUCUGAACACGUGGAAUAUUGUAGUCCAUCGAGACCUGGAAUCAUGAAAAAACUAAAACAAACAACAGUCACUUUUUUCCUUAACACGUGGAAUAUUAUAGUCCUAAACCCUAAACUCUAAACUCUCUCUCUAUAUAUAUAUAGAGCUUUUAUUGAGGGAUCUCUCAAAUUAGCUUAUUUGAGGGAUACCAUUGUAGGACCCACUCUGUAUUGUAUUUCACUAAUUCAAAUCGUCUCUUUUGUGGAUACUCAUUCAAAGAUCAUCUCUACAAAAAAAUCACUUGAAUCUGAUAUCAUUUGACCACUCAAUUGAAUUAUUGAAAUUUUAGUACUUUCUUGAAGCACCAUGUUCAUUGAUUUUGUAGGACAUAAUUGGAUAUCGAAACAGUUUCCGAUUUGUCUAAUUUCUUUUCAAGGAUGAUCUAUGAAUAUAGACUUAAAAAAUAGAUGGUUUCGAUCGUUGAAAAAAAAUUCAUAGGGAACCCUAAAGGGUGUCCCUCAAAUAUAAUUAUUUGAGGGAUCCCUCAAUAGAAGGGGACUGUAUAUAUAUAUAUAUAUAUAUGUCAUCCUUCCAUAAAAGUUGAAACUUUUAACCAAAUAAUUCAAACCAAGAAACUUAAGAACAAGUAACCAAAAGAAAAAAAUUCCAGACACAAUCCAGCUACAAAUGUAGGAAACAAACAAAUGUUCUUCAAACACUAAACCAAAGACAAAGACAACAGGAUCUAGGCCAAUAUCAUUUGAACACAUGAAGGUUCAGACUGACGGCGUUGACAUCGUCGUUGGUUGGUUUCAACGUGGCUGUCAAAGAGACAAUCAGAUCUGUGUGAACAAUGUCGGCGUCGGUUGGGCUUCACAUAUAAAAACUCUAAUCUGAAAAUGAUUUCAAUAGAAGGUUGAGAGAUGGAAGCUUUCCAAUUGAGUCUCACAAAUAAAACCAAAAAUCAUUCCUGAAAUUAAACCCACAUGAAAACUUCAAAAAACAAAACCUUUACCUUUCUAUCUAAAGGGAGAUGCGGUUCAGAUCUGAAAUUAAACCCUACAAUGAAAUAGUAGCCCACAAAAAGGAUAAGGCCAAACAACAAAUCGUCUUCGAGGGAGAGCGGGAAGAAGGAGAAGAAGGAAGAGAGAGGGAUGGAAAAAACAAAACAAAAAGAGAGAGAUAUGGGAGACGUGCAAAAGAGGAAGAAGGAAAAAAUUGCAGCGUGACAGAGGAAGAAGCAGGAGAGAGAGAGAGAGAGAGAGAGAGAGAGAAAAGAAGAAGAAGAAGAAGGGAAAAAAAAAAAAAAAAGAGGAAGAGAUGGAAAGUGACGGAAGGAAGAAGAUGGGAAAAAUAUAAAAAAAUGAAGGUAUUAGGAGAGAUGAGAUAUGGGGAGAAUAAAAAUUACAAAAGAAAGAAAAAGAGGGGUUGGUUUGGGAGCAUCUUUAGAUGCACAUGCAUGCUCUCACAUUUUUUAUUAUAAUAUUUAUUAUUUAGAGUAACUAUUACUAAUUAUAUAGAGAAAAGGGAAAAGAGUCUUGGUCAGUGAGAAAGAUUCCAUCCAUAUAUUUUUAUUAAAUUACCAUUGUGAAGUAUUGUAGUCCAUGUAGUCCGUUGAUUCGACAUUUUUGUCCAUGUUUUUCUUCUUGUGUCUAUCGCUAUACAUACAAAAGUAAAACCCUAGGUAUAUAUAUACACAUUCAGAGGGAAAAGUGGUACAAUUAGAUCGACAUGGAAAAGAGCAAGGUGCUUGUGGUUGGUGGUACUGGGUACCUGGGGCGUAGGAUUGUUUCUGCAAGCCUAUCCCAAGGCCACCCAACGUAUGUUCUUCAAAGGCCAGAGAUUGGCCUUGACAUUGAUAAGCUCCAAAUGCUCUUGGCAUUCAAGAAGCAAGGGGCUCACCUUGUGGAGGGCUCAUUUUCUGAUCUGGAAAGCCUUGUCCGUGCUGUCAAGCUUGUUGAUGUUGUCAUCUGCCCCAUAUCUGGGGUACAUAUUCGGAGUCACAACAUUUUGCUGCAGCUCCAACUUGUUGAAGCUAUCAAAAGAGCCGGAAAUAUUAAGGUACAAACACUACUAGAAAAGCUUCAUAUAAUUCAUGGAUACACUCGUGUCGUGGCCAGUGCUAGUGUCAUUCACAGACAACCUAUGGCCAAAGAUCCUAUUUGUAUUAGAUAUAUACAUGAAUUAAGCAAGGAUGGUGCUCAUUUGCUCUAUGUGCAUUUUGUUUCUCAAAAGGUUUUUAUUCUCAUGUUAUUCUACGGGUUUUGUUUAUUGUGCACUUAUAUUAUAACACAUGGAUUAGUAACACUACGUGACAUAAAAUUUCUUAGGAAUGUAACAAGUGGUGUUACUAAUUAACUCAAGUGUUAGUUGGAUGACAUGGUUGAUAUUUCAUGAACUUAGAAUACAACAUUAAUUAAUAGAUAUACGAAUUCUGAGAGGAUUGGUAGUACCACAUAACAAUGGGAUGGUCACACUACAACAUUUAUUUACAUAACGGUGCUACAAUCACAUCAAAAAAGGUUAAAAUAAUCUAGUAUUCAUUUCCUCCGUAUAGGUCCUUCCUUAUGAAGGAGCACCUUUUUCGUAAUUAUUGAUCAUGUUAGGUGGCAUAUGUACAAUUAAUAUGAAUGAUUUAUCUUCUUUUUUUUGUUUUAUAUAAAUGCAAUUGAUAGUCUAAACUAUAAAGGAAUGAGGUUUUUCACACACACACUAUCAACGUGUAUGGUGGUUUGAACUUGAAAUCACAAGUGUUCAAGUUAAGGCCCUUUAUCAUUGGGCUAGACCGCAUUGACGAUUUAGUUUAAUUAUAUUUUUUUUUGUCACAAUGAUUUAGCUUAAUUAUUAGUGUUUAACUUUUUCAUUAAUUGGGAUGUACUUCAAUAUUCGAAAUUACAAUUGAUAUUAGGGUACCGAUUUUCCCAUUUUCUUUUUAUUCAUUUAUACUCCCUUUUAUUUUUAAAUACUUUUACCAUAACAAAAAAGGGAGUGUAGGUGGACAAAAUAAUAGUGGGAACUUACAAUUUCCAACAAAGGAAGUAUAAGUGAACAAAAGAGGAGUAUGAAAGCUCCCUUGAUAUUAUAAUAGAAGAUUGCUAUAUAUAAUAAGAGCGUACGACUUUAAAUACCUCAUGUUGAUGCUCAAAAUGGCCCGGCCAAUAUUGAGUCCAACUUAGUGAUUAGGUAUGCAGGGUCUUCAGCAGGGAAGAGAGCUGAGGCCCUUGGUGAAAUAUAGGUUGAUGGGAAACCUGCAGAAGACAAAGUGGGAGAAGCAAUCGUUAAGCUUCGGACACCGGUGUGGUGCCGGCCGAAGGCUCUCCGAUUCCUAAGUCAGUUACAAGUAGUAAUUCUGGCAGAAUAACAGUAAAAAUGGGAGAAUAGUUGUCCUUUUUACCUGGGUACUGUUCCCUAUUUAUAGGGAAGUGAAAGUGGGAACUUUGCACAAAGUUCCAAUGUGAGACUUUGUGCAAGUCGUUGUGGUGGCGACACGUGUCCUGGAGAUUAGGUUUGGCAGCUGGGAGCUUCGGCAGGUGUCUGGCACCUCGGAAGUGUGUCUUCCUUCGGCAAGGGAGAAGGCGUGGCUGCCUUGGUGCUAGUCGCUUUGAUGCUGGGUCUGCUCGGUUCAUUAUGGUGUAAACACCUCAUCCAAUUUAUGAUGAGGAAGAGAAUGUUUUAUAUAGGACUGAGACUUGUCUUUUCCAUCUGAAUGAGACUUGUGAAUAAUCUUUUUGAUGUUUUUGGUCCUAACUCGUGAUCAAAUUAACAUACUGAUUUUUUUUCAUGCCCUGGCUUUUCUGUGUAGCGUUUUUUACCUUCAGAGUUUGGUCUAGAUCCACCACGUAUGGGACAUGCACUUGAACCUGGAAGAGUUACAUUUGAUGAUAAAAUGGUAGUGAGAAAGGCAAUACAAGAUGCUAAAAUCCCCUUCACUUAUGUAUGUGGUGCCGGCGUCGCUGGUUAUUUCGCUGGCAACCUUUCACAGAUGGGGACACUCAUUCCUCCAAAGGAGAAAGUUCUUAUUUAUGGAGAUGGUAACGCGAAAGGUACACCAAAACUAAUAAAUUAAAUUAAACACCACUGUUCACCUCCAUAAUUUACUUUAUGCAGGCUAAUAGUAUAUAGAUACUUUGGUUUAUGUAUAUAUGACAUAGAAUUAAUCAUCUUCAUGUACCGUGCAGUAUCUAUAGUGGAUGAAGAUAACAUCGCAGCAUAUACAAUCAAAACAAUAGAUGAUCCGCGAACAUUGAACAAAACAUUAUACCUUCGUCCACCCGAAAACGAACUCAGUCAAAAACAAUUGGUCGAGAUGUGGGAGAACCUCAUAGGCAAGAAACUAGAACAUAUCUCCAUUUCAGAAGAAGACUUCCUUGCCUCUAUGAAAGGUA